ACGGCGGGGGGCGGGGGUCAGCGCGAGACUGACCCCGCCCAGCGGCUUGGUCGGAGGAAUGCGUGAACCGGCUCCCACUGUCCUGGACCGGUGUCACAGGGAAGAUCGGUGAGAGGAGGCGGACGAUCCCGGCGGUACCUCCACCGGCAAGAGCAUCCGUCGGCGGUGCUUUCCCGGAUCCUCCACAGCCCAAUCUCUUGGCAAGAUGCAGUCAAUACUGAACUUCAAUCUUCGACACGCUGCAAAAGACAACUGAAAAUGCAAAACUCCGCCAGAUAAGAUAAACCUUUUGUGUUAAAUCGUAGAGUUCAAUAAUGACCUUGGCUAUGGAAAAAAAAUCGAUGUUAUUUGGCGCCAUUCUGGUUAUUUUUCAAUAAAAAUAUACACGAUGUAGUUUUUCAUUUUUUCCGCUUCCCCUUCAAUUCCAAAUGUACGUUUUUUGCUUCAUUAACAAAUGAAUAAAUAAUUUGUGAUUUUAAUUUGAUUUGAAUUUCUUUACAGUUCUUAAAUAAUCAUAGCUGCACUUUGAUUUCUUGCUACUGAAUGCCACGUAUACCUUGAAGGUUCUUCUAGUGAGCGAUCCAACAAAUGGAAAAUCAAUGCCACUGGGUCUAAUUUUUAUUCCUGAUGAAGGGCUUUUGCCCGAAACGUCGAUUUUACUGCUCCUCGGAUGCUGCCUGAACUGCUGUGCUCUUCCAGCACCACUAAUCCAGAAUCUGGUUUCCAGCAUCUGCAGUCAUUAUUUUUACCUAAUCGAGAUGUGUACAUCAGUAAUGACAUUGUCAUCAGUUUGUUGGCUGCUAACGGCUAAUAUUUAUGACUUUGCUUCCUUUUUAAUAGUCACGUUUUGAUUUGUCAAGUGGAGAAUUACUGGAUUGAGCUCUUCCAUUGAGCUGAAAGUAGAAACAUUCUGAAAAAAUCCAUACGGAAAAACAUUGUUUUUGUUUGUAUAGUCAACAAAGGUUAUUUCUCAGUUAGUAUGUGUUUUUUAGUUCCCAAUUUCUGUUUUAUUUAAUACAAGAAUCGUUUUGUGAUGUUUAUACUAAUUUGAAAAGUAAUCAUGCAAUUAAUAUGGGUACACUAAAGAACUUUAACUGAAA